rnacentral:tRNA from 1 species
GCCCCCGUAGCUUAAUGGAUAAAGUGCAGACCUGCGGAGUCUGACAUAGAGGUUCGAUUCCUCUCGGGGGCA